rnacentral:rRNA from 1 species
GACGAACGCUGGCGGCGUGCUUAACACAUGCAAGUCGAACGGAAAGGCCCUGCUUGCAGGGUACUCGAGUGGCGAACGGGUGAGUAACACGUGGGUGAUCUGCCCUUCACUUCGGGAUAAGCCUGGGAAACUGGGUCUAAUACCGGAUAGGAGCCAUUUUUAGUGUGAUGGUUGGAAAGUUUUUUCGGUGUUGGAUGAGCUCGCGGCCUAUCAGCUUGUUGGUGGGGUAAUGGUCUACCAAGGCGGCGACGGGUAGCCGGCGUGAGAGGGUGGACGGCCACAUUGGGUCGGGGAUACGGCCCAGACUCCGACGGGGGGACGAAGUGGGGAAUAUUGCACAAGGGGCGCAAGCCUGUUGCAGCGGGUUCCCGGGUGGGAUGACGGUCUUCGGGUUGUAAACGCCGUUCGUUAGGGACGAAGCAUUUUGUGACGGUACCUAGAUAAGAAGCCCCGGCUAACUACGUG